rnacentral:lncRNA from 1 species
GGUUACAUAUAUAGAGGAGUUGGGUUAGAAUACUCUUAAUAAUAUUUAUCUUUUUUUGCUAUUAAAUUUUUAGUAUUGGGUUAAUUUUUUGAUCAUUUCUAACCAUUUGAUUAAAUAUUAUAAUUCAGUGGGGAUCACUAAAUCCUAGGGGGACCACUCAACCGUAAGAGACUAAUAUUAUCUUAACCUUAUAAUUUCUCAUGCAAGGAUUAAAAAUCUGAUAGCAAAAGGGACCAAAUAUUAUCAAUAGUAUUCCAGCCAAACUCUAUAUAUAGAGUUGAGCUGGAAUACUAUUAGUAGCAAACGGAUUUCGUUGCCACUCAUUUCUUUCAAUGAUGGAGCUUCCAAAUUGACGAUCGGUACCGUUGAACAUGAUUAAUUUAUACCCCUCGAAGUAUCAAGGAACUAAAUUUCCAAAGCAUAGGAGAUGUUCCUCAUAUAUAUAUAUAUAUAUAUAUAUAUAUAUAGAGUUGGACUGGGCUACUAUUAGUAGCAAAAUUCCGUUGUUGCUACCAGUUUUUUAGCCUUUGGAUCAACUCUUUUCAUUAUUUCUAACCAUUGGAUUAAAUACUAUAACCCAGUGGGGACCACUCAACCCUAGGGGGACCACUCAACUAUAACCGACUAAUAUCAUCCUGACCCUAUAAUUUUGCAUCCAAGGGUUAAAAAUUUGAUAGCAAAAAAUACGUUUUACUAUGAAUAGUAUUCCAGUCUAAUUCUAUAUAUAUAUAUAUAUAUAUAUAUAUAUAUAUAUAUNUAUAUAUAUAUAUAUAUAUAUAUAUAUAUAUAGAGCGAGAGAGAGAGGGAGAGAGGGAGAGAGAGUAAGGCUACUAGACUCUUACAAGUAUAGAACCCUUUGUACUCAUAAGUUGUUUUUGAUGAUAGAGUUUCCGAAUCGACAAUCCACUACGUUAAAUAUGCUGUAGACACUACAACAAAAACGGUCUAUAGCAACACUUUUAAAUGUAGGUACAUGUCAAAAAAGUGCUGCUAGCUAAAAUUACCGACACUUUUAAAAAGUGUUGCUAUAUGUGGGGUCGCUAGGUAUAUAGUGACAGUUAAAGAGUGUCGCUAUAACCUAAAAGAGUGCUGCUAAUUUACCAACACUUAUUUAAGCAUUUAGCAACCGCUGAAACUCUAUCUCGUUAGCUGCAGUUGCGGAGAAGGAUGACAGUAAAAGCUUUUCGUCUAGAAUUUCAGUGGAUUGAGUGAAGAGAGAAGAAAAAAUGGUAAUUGAUUUUUCUUUCUUUUUUUUUCUUUUCUGUUUGUAAUCGGGCCAAAUGGACUGGGUGUGGUGGGUUGAGUAGAGUAAUCUUUUAUUUUUGGUUGGAUUGGGCUUUAUAUUUAGGCAUUAGUAGAUGUGUUUUUAAGUUUUAGUAUAAAUGGGACACUUACUCAAAAAGGUCCCAAACAUGUGUCUCUAUAACCUAAUUCUGUUGUAGUGAGAGUAUUUAAAACUUCUAAAAAUUAAAUUUCAUAAUUUUUUAAAAUUAUAUUAAAAUUCAUCAAGCGGGCAUAAAAUAAAAAGUCAAAAUCGAACGACGUCCUAAAAAUAGUUGAUCAGAUCCUUCAAUUUAAGAUGAGAGUUAUUGAUCUUUUAUUUAGACAAUGAAUAAAAUUUUCUAUAAAAAAAUCAACCGAUUUUGAUUUCUUUUACAUUGUUAAACUAGCAAAUAUUCCAUACUGGCAGUUAAAAAUUGUCAAUUUUAAGAUCUUUUGAUCGUAAGGCAAAUAAUGUCAAAAAAUUAUAAAAUUUGAUUUUUAAAUCGAGAGUUGCGUUAGAAUACUAUUGAUAACAAAAGUUCCAUUUUGCUAUCAAGUUUUUAGCUUUUGGAAUAAUUCCUUUUAUCAUAUCUAACCAUUAGAUUAAAUAUUAUAACCCAGUGGGGACCACUCAACCCUAGGGGGACCACUACUCAUAAGAGUAUAGUAGCCCUACUCUAUAUAUAUAUAUAUAUAUAGGCCGUGGCUACUAUACUAUUAUGAGUAUUGGAGUCCUCGUACUCAUAAGUUGUUUUCGACGAUGGAGCUUCCGAAUCAACGAUCUACUCCGUUAAAUAUGAUCUAGAGUAUUUGAAAUUUCUAGAAAAUAAAUUUCGUAAAUUUUCGAAAUCAUAAUAAAGUCCAUCAAGUGGGCAUAAAAUGAAUGGUCAAAAUCGAACGACGUUCUAAAAAAAGAUGAUCGGAUCGUUCAAUUCAAGAUCGGAGUUAUUGAUCUUUACCUAUGUAGUGAAUAGAAUUUUCUAUCAAAAAUUCAACAAAUUCAGAUUCUUUUACACCGUUAAACUAGCAAGUAUCCCAUACCGGCCGUUAAAAAUUGUCAAAUUUGUGACCUCUUAAUCGUAAGGUAAAUGAUGUCGAAAAAUUAUAAAAUUUGAUUUCUAGAAGUUUUAAAUGCUGUAAAUAACGUUUAACUGUGUGGAUCGUCGAUUAGGAAGCUCUAUCAUCGAAAACAACUUAUGAGUAUGAGGGCGAUCGCACUCAUAA